AAUAUUCAGAGGAAAUGUUAUUGGAUUAAAACAGGAUGACCACACCCACAACGUUGCGUUUCUGCUGCCAUUGCGAGUCUCACUGAAGUGGAAAUACGGGGCGUUGAUGAGCAGCAGAGCACCCGAGGAGAGCGGAAGAAGGCAUUUGUGAUAACUUGUCACUCAGGGUGUACGAGUUAGGUCAGACGGGCAGCCAACCUUGUGUCCAUUUUCGAUUCUGUUGCCAAGAAAUUUGACAUUCCAACUCUGGAUGAAUCGAAGACGGGAGUUGAUGAGGUGUUUUAGUCUCAUUAAGAAGGGAAUAGAAAAAAACUGUCAUUAUAAAGAGA